AUUCAGGUGGUUGGCACAUCAAAGAUUGCUGUUAAUCAAAUAAAACCAGAUAUCUAAAGUUAAUGAGGGAUGUUCCUAUAGCUCAGAUGGUAAAGAAUCUUCCUGCCAUGUAGGAGACCUGGAUUCGAUCCCUGGGUCAGGAAGAUCCCUUGGAGAAGGAAAUGGCAACCCACUUCAUUAUUCUUUCCUAGAGAAUCCCCAUGGACAGAGGAGCCUGGAGGGCUAUAGUCCACAGGAUCACACAAAGAGUCAGACAUGACUAAGAGACUAACACACACAAAGUUAAUGAGCUUAGCACUUUUCUGUGUAUGGGAAGACGCAAGCAUCCGGGCUCGUUGGGAUCAUUCCUUUGACAUGCGCCUCAGCUCUCUGGGGCUGGUAUCCUGUGCUUUCCUCAUCCUGAGUCUCCUCAGGGUGCACAUCCAGGGUGGCUGCGGUGACUGACUGCUAGAUGGCGGGCAUCCUGUUUCCACCCUGGUUCCCUCAGGGCUUGCUGUCUAUUGGGGCAGCUGUUAUGUGGCCACUUGAUGGCCGUAACAUCCUUUGUUUACUGACAUGGCAGGCAAUAUUUUAGUUCACACUCCCAGUCAGUAUUGAGCACGACAGGGGCCCCAGACCUGGGCCGUUCCUUCCCAGUACAGGACCCUUCUGGUGGGAGUGUUUUCCCCAGGGCCUCCUCAUCAGCCUGGAUGAGGUUUCCUGAGAACUGCACCGCAGUGCCGUGCUCCUUUCACCCCACCCUGUCUUCCCUCUGGCUGUGUAGAGGUGUCAGGCCUGCAAGAAGGUUAUCCUUCCUAAGCUUUUCCUCCAAUAAACCUCUUCACAGAGGGCCUGGACUGAUGUCAGGGAGGAGACUUUUGUGAGAAGUAGAUAUAGCUCAUUUUACUCCAAGUUUGGGAUUUCUUUCUUUUCUUUUCCUAUCCUCUCCUUAUUUAUCUAAGGGUAGAAUCAACAGGCUUGGCAAAUGGCUAUGCUGAUUUUAAUGGAAUUGAUAAGAGAAUUGCAGUCAAGUGUGAAAUUUCUUCCUGAGCUGGCAGGUAUUCUUGGCUAGAGGCAGCUAAUUCCUUAGGGAACUUUGAUAUUGAACUCAUAGUUGCAAAUCAAAAUUAAUUCUAAUUCCAUUCAUUUGUGCUGAAAGGCCAUAUCCUUGAGCGAGGUGGGAGGCCUGGGAACUGUGCUGGGUGUGGCCAUCUCAGGACUGACUCCAGCCAGGACUGGUGACCAGGGGAUAAGAAGCAGGAUGGGCCGGGCAGAGAGAAAUGGCCCCAGCUUUUGUCUGUCUUCCUUGUCAUUCUGUAGAACCUACUGAAAAAAUACGUAC
ensembl:lncRNA